CAGCAGCCGCGGUAAAACGUAGGGUGCGAGCGUCAAUCGGAAUUACUGGGCGUAAAGCGUGCGCAGGCGGCUUUGCAAGACAGAUGUGAAAUCCCCGGGCUCAACCUGGGAACUGCAUUUGUGACUGCAAGGCUAGAGUGCGGCAGAGGGAGAUGGAAUUCCGCGUGUAGCAGUGAAAUGCGUAGAUAUGCGGAGGAACACCGAUGGCGAAGGCAAUCUCCUGGGCCUGCACUGACGCUCAUGCACGAAAGCGUGGGGAGCAAACAGGAUUAGAUACCCCCGUAGUCCCUGUCUCUUAUAC
rnacentral:rRNA from 1 species